rnacentral:lncRNA from 1 species
AGAAGUUGAUCUCUAGAAAUCAUUGCCACCACCAACGGCGGCAACUGCCUGAUCAGUAAAUUACAUCUCUUAGAAUAAUAAUUUAAGCAAAAUAGAUUAGAUAGGAGGAUCUGCCUUUCAAGCAUGAUCAUCUCGGACAAUGAGGAUGAUUUCCUGGCCCAGUUCCUCGAACUAGAGGUUCUCCCCGAAGCAUCAGAUCUAGUAUUUUGCAAAAUCUCUUUGAU